ACAGGGAUUGCCCUAGUAACGGCGAGUGAAGCGGCAACAGCUCAAAUUUGAAAUCUGGCCCUCGGGUCCGAGUUGUAAUUUGUAGAGGAUGCUUUUGGUGAGGUACCUUCCGAGUUCCCUGGAACGGGACGCCAUAGAGGGUGAGAGCCCCGUCUGGUUGGAUACCGAUCCUCUGUAAAGCUCCUUCGACGAGUCGAGUAGUUUGGGAAUGCUGCUCUAAAUGGGAGGUAUAUGUCUUCUAAAGCUAAAUAUUGGCCAGAGACCGAUAGCGCACAAGUAGAGUGAUCGAAAGAUGAAAAGCACUUUGAAAAGAGAGUUAAAAAGUACGUGAAAUUGUUGAAAGGGAAGCGCUUAUGACCAGACUUGGACUUGGUUGAUCAUCCUGGGUUCUCCCUGGUGCACUCUUCCAGUUCAGGCCAGCAUCAGUUCGCUGCGGGGGAUAAAAGUUUUGGGAAUGUGGCUCCCUCGGGAGUGUUAUAGCCCAUUGCAUAAUACCCUGCUCCGGACUGAGGUUCGCGCAUCUGCAAGGAUGCUGGCGUAAUGGUCAUCAGCGACCCGUCUUGAAACACGGACCAAGGAGUCGUCUUCGUAUGCGAGUGUUCGGGUGUUAAACCCCUACGCGUAAUGAAAGUGAACGCAGGUGAGAGCUUCGGCGCAUCAUCGACCGAUCCUGAUGUUCUCGGAUGGAUUUGAGUAAGAGCAUACGGGGCCGGACCCGAAAGAAGGUGAACUAUGCCUGUAUAGGGUGAAGCCAGAGGAAACUCUGGUGGAGGCUCGCAGCGGUUCUGACGUGCAAAUCGAUCGUCAAAUAUGGGCAUGGG
rnacentral:rRNA from 1 species